UGGAAGGGUCCUUACUUGGGGGUCUGCACCUCCUUGUGCUCCUUGGCAGCCUGCAGGCAGGGCUGCACCACUUCCAGCAGCUUGAUGAGGACAUCGAGGACGCAGCUUGACUCCACCACGCGGGCACAAGGCAGCUUCAGCUCCUGCAUGGAGGGUGGGCACAGCUUAGAGACCCCCAAAUCCCACCCAUCAUUUGUUCACGUGCUCCAAAAUGCCACGGCUUGGAAACCCAAACCCAUGUUUUAGGGCUUCGUGAGGACAUCAUCAAGUCUCAACGUCACAGAGUCAACCUGAAGGUUGUCAUCGUGGUGUUAAUGUGUCAACACUCGGUGCGUCAGCGUGUCAUCAUGUCAACGUCAUCAUGUCAACGUCAUCAUGUCAGUACUUAACACGUCAAUGUCAUCAAGACUUCAUCAUGUCAACGCUUAACACGUCAAUGUCAUCAUGCCAACGUCAUCAUGUCAACGCUCAACAUGUCAAUGUCAUCAUGUCAACAUUGUCAUGUCAAUGCUUAACACGUCAACGUCAUCAUGUCAACGCCAUCACGUCAAUGCUUAAUACGUCAAUGUCAUCACGUCAACGUCACUGUCUCAACACCCAUCAUGUCAAUGUCACCGUGUCAGCACCCAACAUGUCAACUCCAUCAUGACAACGUCACUGUGUCAACACCCAACAUGUCAACUCCAUCAUGUCAACACCCAACAUGUCAACUCCAUGUCAACAUCACUGUGUCAACACCCAACAUGCCAACUCCAUCAUGUCAGCACCCAACAUGCCAACGCCAUCACAUCACCACUCCACAUGCCAACACGCCCACCCUCCGUGCCCCACAUCUCAACCCUCAGCGACUCAACGCCCCCCCGUCAACGCUCCCGGCGGACCCCAACCCCCCAAAGACGUGUCCGGCCGGCCCCAAAUCGUGCUUUUUUCCCCCCAAAAAAACGACGGUCUCACCUCGAAGAGCAGCGUGAGGAGGAGGAUGCGG
rnacentral:lncRNA from 7 species